rnacentral:rRNA from 1 species
CUUUACUGUAGCCUGGAAUUGGGUUCGGGCUUUGCUUGCGCAGUAUAGGUGGGAGGCGUUGAAAAUCUUCUUGCGGGAGGAUUGGAGCCAUCAGUGAGAUACCACUCUUGUAAUGUUAGAUUUCUAACUUUGUAUCAUUAUCUGGUCAAAGAACAGUUUCAGGCGGGCAGUUUGACUGGGGCGGUCGCCUCCCAAACGGUAACGGAGGCGCACAAAGGUUUCCUCUGAACGGGUAGAAAUCGUAUCUAGAGUGUAAAGGCAUAAGGAAGCUUGACUGUGAGACUUACAAGUCGAGCAGGGACGAAAGUCGGUCUUAGUGAUCUGACGGUGCUGAGUGGGAAGGCCGUCACUCAACGGAUAAAAGUUA